UCCCUGGUAGCUCAGAUGGUAAAGCUUCUGCCUGCAAUGCAGGAGACCAGGGUUCAAAUCCUGGGUUAGGAA
rnacentral:tRNA from 1 species